rnacentral:rRNA from 1 species
GUGGGGAAUAUUGGACAAUGGGCGCAAGCCUGAUCCAGCCAUGCCGCGUGAGUGAUGAAGGCCUUAGGGUUGUAAAGCUCUUUCAGUGGGGACGAUAAUGACGGUACCCACAGAAGAAGCCCCGGCUAACUUCGUGCCAGCAGCCGCGGUAAUACGAAGGGGGCUAGCGUUGUUCGGAUUUACUGGGCGUAAAGCGCACGUAGGCGGAUCGUUAAGUCGGGGGUGAAAUCCUGGAGCUCAACUCCAGAACUGCCUUCGAUACUGGCGAUCUUGAGUCCGGAAGAGGUGAGUGGAACUCCUAGUGUAGAGGUGGAAUUCGUAGAUAUUCGGAGGAACACCAGUGGCGAAGGCGGCUCACUGGACCGUUGUUGACGCUGAGGUGCGAAAGCGUGGGGAGCAAACAGGAUUAGAAACCCCAGUAGUCC